rnacentral:rRNA from 1 species
GACGAACGCUGGCGGCGUGCUUAACACAUGCAAGUCGAACGGACAGACCCUGCUCUUGUUGGUCGCUCGAGUGGCGAACGGGUGAGUAACACGCGUGUAUCCUGUCCCUGUCUUAGGGAUAUCACCAGGAAACUGGGGCUAAUAUCGGAUAUGAGCUCUUGCUGCAUGUGGGGGGUUGGUAAGAUUCGGCGGUGGGGGAUGGUCUCGCUGCUUAUGAGCUUGAUGGUCGGGUAGUGGCUUACCAAGGCUUCGACGGGUAGCCGGCCUGAGAGGGCGACCGGGGACCAUGGGACUGAGAGAGGGAGCAGUAGGGUACGGGAGGCAGCGGUGGGGAGUAUUGCGGAGUGGGGGGGAGCGUGAUGCAGCGGCGCCGCGUGCGGGAAGACGGCCUUCGGGUUGUGAACCGAUGUGGCCUGUGCCGUGGCGUGAGUGACGGUAAUGGGUAAGGAAGCCCCGGCUAACUACGUG